AUGACACAGAGGCUCAUGAAGAAGUGAAGAUUGAGAGUUUUCAAGACCAACCAUAGAUUACAGUUGUUCAAAGGUAUAUUUUUAAACCCACUACAUGUUUGAGACAAUACUGUGAAAUGAAGAGGAGAACUAAUGAAUUGCUGAGCAGUCUAUUUUACCACAGGUGCCAUAAAUACACAACAUCGGAAAAUGUCUACUUCUUACCCUAGUUUUGAAUGAGUUGUCUGGCUAUUAUGUGGACAUUAUGUUUCGUUAUACAAGCUGACAAACCGUGAAGUUUAAGUUACCUCAUUUCUAAAAACAAAGACUGGGUUCAUUACUUGGUUGUUCUAUUCAGCAUGAUAAAAAAAAAAAAAAGAUUAUGUGACUCACAAAGACCAUAUAAACUGAGAAUAUAAUUCUAGUCGAUAUACGACCGGAUUUUCCCAAUAGAUUUGCUGUGUUAUAACUGGUCUUGACCAACUUUUGUGCUUUUGUUGGGUCAAAGUAUUUCCUAGGAGCGUGGAUUGGGUUUGAGACACAGGUCAGGGAUUGUGCAUACAGCCGUGGCUGAUUAAGUGACCUCUCUCUGGAAUUUAUUCAGAAUCCCGGCAGAGAAUGUGGCUAACAGGCUUGUUAGCCACAUUCUCUGCGGCUAACAAGCUGGAGCUAACAAGCUGUUAGCCACAUUCUAACAGACCGUAGACGAGUCUAAGGAAAUGUGGCUUUCCAUCACUGGAUAAAGCAAGAAGCGUCUGCUCACAGAUGUUGUCUCGUUUGAUGUCUGAUGUCGAUAAACCCAGGCGAUUCUGGGUUUUCACAGCUUUGAAACACAGCGGAUAAUGCUUGAAGAAUAUAGAAAUUCAAUGAAAAGAAAUUCAAAGAAAGUCAUUUGCAAGAAUUCCAAAUUUACCCUGAAACAAAAUGUUUCGGAAAAGACAUCCAAUUUUUUCUUUUUUAAUACUCCCUUGAAAGAGAAAUAGAUGAAGGUUUGUUUCCCACAUUAUUUAAUUUGCGUUUAUUUUAUGACCAAAAUGGUAGCCUGUUCGUCCCUCACAUGAAUCACAUGUUACACACGCGCGUACAAACACAUACAGUACACACACCUGGCUCCUGCCCCUUCUGGGGGGUCCAUACACCAUAACCCAGCUACGAAAAUAAAUGGAAAGUUCAUCUUAAAACUGAAAUUUGUGAAAUAUAUCUGGUUUAAUUAUUCUUUUCUUUUAGUUAGUUCUUUUAAGUGACUUUGCAUGGCGGAGAUGCAUAAUAAAGUGUUGACACUGUAUCACCA
ensembl:lncRNA